GUUGUUUCCUGGCUUCCGUACAACAACCACAGCUAUUCUGGGAGCCCUGAGGCUUCAUUUAAAGCAAUCUAUAAAAGACUCCCCAUCCCUCCAGGUCUCACAAAGGCUCUGACUCCUUGGCUUCACACUCUUUCCUGUACAACUGACCUGGUUCAUUUCAUAAGCAUUAGUGAUGUCUCAGCAGCAUCAACAGGAGUCCUUUCCCAAGUGCUCCACUUCUCCUUGCCCACCUCCAUGCCCGGCUAUCUGCUCAGAUUCUAGGUCAGGAGGUUGCUGUCUCACACACCCAAGGCCCAGGACACAGAGCUCCUGCUGCAGGGGAAGUCAAGGACAACCCCAUAGGGCCACACCUAGGAGGCCCCGAUGCCUCCAAGGGGAAACUUACUAUCACUGCAAAGAGGAGGAGUGCUAGGUGUCAGUGGUCCUAUGUGGAGGGACCCAGGUACCAGGACUGGGGUGUGAGGGAGAGGUGUGUUGAACAGUAGUGGAUAGUCAGGAUUCCUCUACUGGCUCCUUUAAAGAAGUUAGAUGAUAAUUAAAGAAAAAGAUGCCACAAAGCCAUUGGUUUUCUUCUUUUAGUAAAGGAGCAACCCUCAUUGCAAGGUCCGUAACGAGGAGAACUGGAUACAGAAGUUCAUCUGACUUUCUCUUCCUUUUCCUCUGGCUAAAUAAAAAUAAAUUUUUUCUGUUAUGAA